ACUGGAACUCGUGGGGAUCAAGGAAUCUAUAGAUCCUCAGGAAUGAUCACCCUCAUACAGGAGAUGGUCAUGUCUCUGCACACACUCCUUAAGGGCAUCUACAGGGAGCAGUAAAGAGCUAGAGUCCUCAGCACCAGCACUUCAAGGAUACUGAAACCUGACCUGCUUCUGGACAUAGCUUUGACUUUGAGAUGAUUCUCUAGAAACAAUACUCCAGUGGGAUAAAUGAAAGAUUAAAGCUAAAAGUCUGACUGGUAGAUGCAGCUCCAGGUCUUGUUUAUGAGACAGGCUUAUGUUCAAAUCAUACUUGCUGUGUGACCAAGACAGUAGCCCAGAUCUGUUUUCAACAUUGUUGUGUUGUCUACAAUUUUGUGAUUCUUAUAUUGCCUCAAGAAUCUACUCCCUCUACUUACAAAAAGAAAAGCUAACGGGAAGAAAGCCUCAAGCAGGUCCUUUGAGAAGUAUUACAGAAAAAAAAAAAAAAGCAUCGUUAUCACAGGAGAUGGCCCCUCCAUGUGUGUUACUGCCCUGGAAAACCUUACAGUGGGUCAAGACAUGGAGAUGGAAGGCAGUGAUACUGGUGAUCCUGACCCUCUGUAGGCCCAGGCUAAUGUGUGUGCAUAAAAGACAGUGAUGCUGGUGAUCCUGACCCUGUAUAGGCCCCACCUUGGCCUCCCAAAGUGCUGGGAUUACAGGUGUGAGCCACUGCUCCCAGGGGAGAUGAAAAGUCUCCUUUCUUCUGAGUUUGAAACCCUCCAUCAAUUUCUUCUAUGACUGCAGGGUGGGAGACUCAUCCCCUCCUGACCCCUGGCCCACAAUCUCCCAGUGGCCAUAUUCUCACUUCUCCUGUGUACCUUAUAGUAUCUCUACGUCGGGCAAAGGGAAUUUUCCUCGUUUAAGGAGAGAUAAACCUGUCUUCAAAAUCUCAAUAUUUUACUGAUGUAGGAGUCUUCUCUGGUGUCCUAGAGACAUCAACUUCUGGACAACAAGCAAAGAAGAAGCCCUCUUUUCUCUGUUUUAACUGUUACAUCCCUUUGUUUUGUUUACACAGGUAUUGUUAGAUCUUCUAAAAACAGAAACUGGAGGCCAGGGGUUUAGUUUCAGAGGGGAAAUUUGCCUCUGUGUGUGUUUGUAUGUAUGUGAAAAAAAAAAAAGCUAAGCUGACUGAACAGACCCCCUCGUGGCUGAGGGGACCUCAGAGAAGCCUUAGAAGCUGAAUUCCUGGCCAUGAUGGGUUGGGAGGUGGGACAUGCCUCCUUAUACUCCCUUGCUAACCACUAUUAGGCUUUCUUUCCUAAGGGUUAAACAGAAACCAGCACUUUGGAGAGACUUGCUCCACCCUAGGUAUCAACCAGUUGCCUGACACUGCCCCCUCUUUUUUGCAGAUUUGACAAAACAACCAACCAAAUUUCCUUCCUGAUAGGAGACCACAGACCAUGGGGUUGUCCUUAACUGUCUAUGGAGGAUGUAUAGUGAGGAUUUUCAUGUCCUCUGCUUCACCUUUUGCUAUCGGGGGCCAAAAAGUUCACCCUGGGAUCAUGUUGACGCUGCCAUUUGUUUGUACAUGUGACUCAGAUGGGGCAUGAAGCUUAACUGAACAUACACAAUUUUCUCCUUUCGUAAAUAAGUAUGGCUCCUCCUAUAGCGUAUUAAAUAUGUGUAUUUGGUCCCCUGCUCAGCAUAAAUUCCCAUUCCCUUUGCCCUUGCCUUGAAGUAUCUGUUUCCGGCUUCUGACAGAAGGCUAUGCUAGCCAGCUGUCAGAAGGACCACACUGCAGUCUGCAACCCUUUAGGAGAAAUAAAGUCCUCCUUUCCAAAUUUGUGAACUUCAUCAUUCUUAAGUUGACAGGCAUGUGGGUGCAUGCGCACAUGCACGUGUGUGUGUUUUCUUCCUAAAAAGUUGUUGACAUUUUGACACUGUGACCUAAUUUUAGGCAUCAGAUUUUCAGUUUUACAUGUCUCUAUUACAGGUAAGCAUGAAAUUGGGCCUGUACUCCCUUCUGGAACUUUUGCUUCUUGGUUUGAGUAAGACUUUUUGAGGGAGUCUACAAUUUAAUUAAAAGACUAUCUUGUGUUGGACAUGAAACCUCAGGCUAGGAAAAAGUCCCUCUUGCUUGUCUAUCCCUUUGACAUGACCAUGAGUAUCUCCCUUCGACUCUUGGUCUGUAGUGGCUGAAGUGAUUUCAAGCACUUUCCACUGUGGAUGCUGAAGUCCAGAUUCCUCUUAGGACCAAGGCACUUAUUUCCAGCUGGCAGGUGCAUUGUUGUUGCAAACUCACAAUUGAGGCACACCCUUGUAAUUGCCCUAGUUUAAGGGUACUCUGUCCCCCAAGUUAGUCCCCUCCCAAGGACUGUCCCUACCCAAAACUGGUCCAUGAUUUCUGAAGGAUCAUCCAAGCUUUAAAACUUCGCAUGGCAUAGGUUAAUAUUUUUGUUGCGGCUGCAUUGAAUUUCAACUCCUUCUUCCAUCCAGUCCUACUGACCUCACUUCCCCACAGGGUACUCCCUAGUGCAGGCUAAUUGCCAUAUCAGAAUCUUCUUCCUGUAGCAGCAGACCUAAGGUACCAUCUCUCUAAUGCAGCACUAUGCUUUCAGAAUUCACAUCAAGAUUUUUAAUUACAAAUAUAGUGAUUUUCAAGACCUAGUGAGCCAUUCCUAUGGGUUUGAGUUUGCUUAACAUUUUCUAUUUUAUCGUCACUACUCCUUGAGGUCACCGCUAUUAUUAUUCACAUUUUACAGAUGAACAAUUUGAGACAGAGAGGAUAAAUAGGUUGUCCAUAGUCACAUACUACAUUCAGGCUAGCCUUUUGUUAGAGAUGAGUCAAGAGACAAGAAGUGCAGCCUUCAGGCAUUCUUCCCUCAAAUUUCUCAAGAAGGCCAGAAGGCCACAGAUGCUGCAUCUGAUUAUGUUUAAUCCACUGCAAAAAAUAGGACCCCAAGUAGAGGGCCUCAUUACUCAUGCAGAAAACUCUUGAUUGUAAAUCUUGCUUCUCUGAAAUAUGGGUGGCUAUGAUGUGAUGCCAGAAUUUUUUUUUAAUACUUCCUGCCUUGCUGCAUCAUUUUCUUGGAUAGAGUAGUGUAAGUCUGUCUUUCAUUCUGUCUCUAUCUGAAUAUACUAGUCAGAAUUCCUUGACAUUUGUAUCUGAUGCUGUUUUUCUCAUUUUGCUGAUGAUUAAAAUGUCCUGCACCCUUUCUGCCUUUGGUCCUUUUGCUUGGUUUCUUGGCAAAGCAAC
rnacentral:lncRNA from 10 species